CGAGCGAGCUUGCCUAGAUGAGUUUGGUGCUUGCACCAGAUGAAACUAGAUACAAGCGAGCGGCGGACGGGUGAGUGACACGUGGGUAACCUGCCCAAGAGACUGGGAUAACACCUGGAAACAGAUGCUAAUACCGGAUAACAACACUAGACGCAUGUCUAGAGUUUAAAAGAUGGUUCUGCUAUCACUCUUGGAUGGACCUGCGGUGCAUUAGCUAGUUGGUAAGGUAACGGCUUACCAAGGCAAUGAUGCAUAGCCGAGUUGAGAGACUGAUCGGCCACAUUGGGACUGAGACACGGCCCAAACUCCUACGGGAGGCAGCAGUAGGGAAUCUUCCACAAUGGACGCAAGUCUGAUGGAGCAACGCCGCGUGAGUGAAGAAGGGUUUCGGCUCGUAAAGCUCUGUUGGUAGUGAAGAAAGAUAGAGGUAGUAACUGGCCUUUAUUUGACGGUAAUUACUUAGAAAGUCACGGCUAACUACGUGCCAGCAGCCGCGGUAAUACGUAGGUGGCAAGCGUUGUCCGGAUUUAUUGGGCGUAAAGCGAGUGCAGGCGGUUCAAUAAGUCUGAUGUGAAGGCCUUCGGCUCAACCGGAGAAUUGCAUCAGAAACUGUUGAACUUGAGUGCAGAAGAGGAGAGUGGAACUCCAUGUGUAGCGGUGGAAUGCGUAGAUAUAUGGAAGAACACCAGUGGCGAAGGCGGCUCUCUGGUCUGCAACUGACGCUGAGGCUCGAAAGCAUGGGUAGCGAACAGGAUUAGAUACCCUGGUAGUCCAUGCCGUAAACGAUGAGUGCUAAGUGUUGGGAGGUUUCCGCCUCUCAGUGCU
rnacentral:rRNA from 1 species